UGCCGAUGAUGUAUGAUGUAUUGUCCGUACCAUCUGAAAGGGUUCUCUUUGAGAGCCUCCUUUGAUUAGUACUCGCAUCCACUUUCUGAGGCUU